GUGGUCUUCUUUAUGGACUCAGCGAGGACCGGAAGACUUGGAGAGGAACCGGUGUGACGUAAUCCUCGGUUUUCCUCGCCUGGUCUGUGAUGCUGCCCUCUGUGGCUAAAGUAUCUAUUGCAGCCUUCAGUAAUGUCCUGCUUUCCCUUGUGGCUAUGUGUAGUAUUUAUUGCUUAUAUAUUUGGUCCUACCCCCCUAUUGGUUAAGUGAGGGAAAUACAGCUUGUGUUCCUAAAAUACGUAACAGUCCCUCCUUGGUCAUCUUAGAUGACCAUACAAUAAUAUUUUAGAUCAUAAACACCAUUUACCACACCGAAAACAUAGUCAAAGUAGAAUCUAUCAUCAACACCAUCAACCGUCGCGGAAAGACCUCUUGAAGAGAGGGGAAAAACCACUACGCGUCCCCAUAAUACUGAGACGGCAUUCACGUUGUGGGUCUUGUUGAAAAUACAGGUCAUUAUUUAACAAUACAACAAUGAACAUGAAUCUUGUUAUCAUACAAUCACAUGGCCAAACAGCACACAAACAAAACCAUCAAUAGAAAUCCUGAGCUAAUACUUUUGGUCAUGUGCUACAAGGUCAUAAAAUAUUCAACAGGUGCAAAAGUAACGUAAAAAUUGGUGGUCAUAAUACAAUUUUUAAAAUUUCAAAAGGAUUGAUAAGCUAACAUGGAUUUGGGGGUUCAAGUGAUCUUCGUGUAUUAGUGUGCCGGUUCCUGUGGGUGGUUUUGGGCGAUGUUAUUAUUGUAGUCAUUGUUUUUACUGUCGCCGUCGGGUUUGUAAUUCAUGAACCCAAGACUCGUCCCUCCUUGUCAAGGGCUCAUCUCAGAGAGGUUACUCCUACACCAUGGGAGCCUCCUCACAGGUUCUCCGUCGUCGUGUCAGCAACAGGUGGCCUGUAAACAACCGUCUCAAAGAUCAACAGUACCAUUAUCAAUGCAGCGAUUCAGAAAUAACGGGUUGCAUUUGCAACACUAUACAAUAACAAACAGCCUGUAUGGUUGUUAGAAAUGUGUUAUUCAAGUAAAUCCGGGAUAUUGAUUAUCUUAUAUACAGGCACUUCUACUAGAAUAGUAUAGGUGUUGACUAUUCUACAUAUUACAGCUGGAUAUGGUCGGGCCUCUCAGGUGAUGUAUCAUUCACUUUCAUCGGAUCAUAUCUGAUCCCCAUGUAAGCCUGAAUGGCACUUGGGGCUUCUGUAGCGCCUACUGCUGUGGGGAUCAGCAGAUGCAGUAGCCCUCGUGCACAGGGAAUACAACGGCAGCCGGUGACAAUUAACACGGUCUCUGCAUUUAUUCCCGCAACGGGCACUUACUGGAUCAUGCUUUUCCACCUCCCAAACAUAUUCUCCAUCCAACCUGUGAAAUGGUCAUUAAUGCCGGAGUUCUCUGCCAAUUCUAACCUGAGGGAUUGUAAUUAUGCCAGCAACCCAUCCAGAGCUGUGUUAUUGGGGAUAAAGUUGGCCUACAACACGUUGUGCCUAUCGCAUUUAUCCCUCCUUGCUCUGUCAAUAACAUUUCCAUAUAUAUACAUAUUCCUUUUAACUUUAUCUGUUAAACUGAACGAAGUGUUGCUGAUUAUGAUACAUGUAAUUUAUCUAAACAAUAUAUAUAUACAUAAUUUUUAUAUGGUGGACAAGCAAAACAGAACCAAUUCAACUCCUGCCGUUAUUUGAUCUCCUCAUGUGACUGCUCCUUGC
ensembl:lncRNA